GGGGAUGUGGCUCAGUUAGUAGGGGGCUUGCCUUGCAUGCAGGAGGCCCUGGGUUCAAUCCCUAGCACUCUA
rnacentral:tRNA from 1 species